UCGCGUGGUUCCCAGGACGCCCCUCUCCAGAGCUUGAGGUUGGAGAGAUGAGGAAGAAUCAACAAAGAAGAAUGUGAAGAGGCCAGUGAGCUAGGAGUAAAACCAAGAAAGUAAAGGAUCCUAGAAGUCAAACGAAGAAAGAGUUUCAAGAGGGGGAAUGUCAUUAUGUAUGUCAAGUACGGAAAAUGGGUUAAAUAAGUAACAUGUACAUGACUUUUCCAUAAGUCAAAAGUCUUGAAGGACUGACUUUCUACGGAGAAGAAGUGACUCACUUUGCCUGGAGAGCUGGGAAAGAGGAGCCACUGAGAUGGGCUUUGAGAGGAUGACUAGGAAUCCCCAGAGAGAAAAAAGAGAGCAAAUGGAAUUUUACGAAUGAGAAAUAUUAAUAGCAUGUACG
rnacentral:lncRNA from 1 species